rnacentral:rRNA from 1 species
GAUGAACGCUGGCGGCGUGCCUAAUACAUGCAAGUCGAGCGAAUGGAUUAAGAGCUUGCUCUUAUGAAGUUAGCGGCGGACGGGUGAGUAACACGUGGGUAACCUGCCCAUAAGACUGGGAUAACUCCGGGAAACCGGGGCUAAUACCGGAUAACAUUUUGAACCGCAUGGUUCGAAAUUGAAAGGCGGCUUCGGCUGUCAAUUAUGGAUGGACCCGCGUCGCAUUAGCUAGUUGGUGAGGUAACGGCUCACCAAGGCAACGAUGCGUAGCCCACCUGAGAGGGUGAUCGGCCACACUGGGACUGAGACACGGCCCAGACUCCUACGGGAGGCAGCAGUAGGGAAGCUUCCGCAAUGGACGAAAGUCUGACGGAGCAACGCCGCGUGAGUGAUGAAGGCUUUCGGGUCGUAAAACUCUGUUGUUAGGGAAGAACAAGUGCUAGUUGAAUAAGCUGGCACCUUGACGGUACCUAACCAGAAAGCCACGGCUAACUACGUGCCAGCCGCCGCUGUAA